AUUGCCUUAGUAACGGCGAGUGAAGCGGCAAAAGCUCAGAUUUGAAAUCUGGUGCCAUUUUGGUACCCGAGUUGUAAUCUGUAGAGGAGUAUUCGAGUGUAGCUUUGGCUUAAGUUUCUUGGAACAGGACGUCAUAGAGGGUGAGAACCCCGUUCACGGCCUUUGACUUAUGCUCAUGUGAAUCUUCUUCAACGAGUCGAGUUGUUUGGGAAUGCAGCUCUAAAUUGGUGGUAAAUUCCAUCUAAAGCUAAAUACUGGCAAGAGACCGAUAGCGCACAAGUAGAGUGAUCGAAAGAUGAAAAGAACUCUGAACAGAGAGUCAAAUAGUACGUGAAAUUGUUGAAAGGGAAGCACUUGUUACCAGACAUACCUUCAGCCAAUCAGCCUUCAUUUUUGGUGGUGCACUUGGCUGUCGGUGGGUCAGCAUCAGUUACAAUAGUGGGAUAAAGGCUGUGGGAAUGUGACUUCCUUCGGGGAGUGUUAUAGCCCCUAGUGAAAUACCAAUCAUUGUGACUGAGGCCCGCGC
rnacentral:rRNA from 1 species